UACGUAGGGAGCAAGCGUUGUCCGGAAUCAUUGGGCGUAAAGCGCGCGUAGGUGGCCUCACAAGUCCGCUGUGAAAGUCAAAGGCUCAACCUUUGAAAGCCGGUGGAUACUGUGAGGCUAGAGUACGGAAGAGGCGAGUGGAAUUCCUGGUGUAGCGGUGGAAUGCGCAGAUAUCAGGAGGAACACCAAUAGCGAAGGCAGCUCGCUGGGACGUUACUGACACUGAGGCGCGAAAGCGUGGGGAGCGAACAGG
rnacentral:rRNA from 1 species